GAUGAACGCUGGCGGCGUGCCUAACACAUGCAAGUCGAGCGAUUCUCUUCGGAGAAGAGCGGCGGACGGGUGAGUAACGCGUGGGUAACCUGCCCUGUACACACGGAUAACAUACCGAAAGGUAUGCUAAUACGGGAUAACAUAAGAAAUUCGCAUGUUUUUCUUAUCAAAGCUCCGGCGGUACAGGAUGGACCCGCGUCUGAUUAGCUAGUUGGUGAGGUAAUGGCUCACCAAGGCGACGAUCAGUAGCCGACCUGAGAGGGUGAUCGGCCACAUUGGAACUGAGACACGGUCCAAACUCCUACGGGAGGCAGCAGUGGGGAAUAUUGCACAAUGGGCGAAAGCCUGAUGCAGCGACGCCGCGUGAAGGAUGAAGGUCUUCGGAUUGUAAACUUCUAUCAGCAGGGAAGAAAGGGCCUAUGGCCUAUGACGGUACCUGACUAAGAAGCCCCGGCUAACUACGUG
rnacentral:rRNA from 1 species